rfam:Gossypium hirsutum cultivar TM-1 chromosome 11, whole genome shotgun sequence
AGCCCAUGGUGAGGGCAUCUUCUUAAAAGGUCCUUCUAUCUCUCACAUGCAUCAUAAAGUGUUUCUAAAUCCAUCUACACAAAAGAAGAGAUAUCAUUACAUAACUU